rnacentral:rRNA from 1 species
UACGUAGGAUCCAAGCGUUGUCCGGAUUUACUGGGUGUAAAGGGUGCGCAGGCGGACUUAUAAGUCAGAGGUGAAAUCUUACUGCUCAACAGUGAAACUGCCUUUGAUACUGUAGGUCUUGAAUUAGGGAGAGAUUCGUGGAAUUCCGAGUGUAGCAGUGAAAUGUGUAGAUAUUCGGAAGAACACCAGUGGCGAAGGCAGCGAAUUGGCCCUAUAUUGACGCUCAGGCACGAAAGCAUGGGGAUCAAACAGG